CUUUGGGGUCACAACCACCAGGGUAAAAGCCACUGAUCUAGACCUUCAACUAAAUGAAGUCACUGUGCAUUUUCAGAAUUUGUUGAUUUCCAUGGUUUAUGUAUCUUGUCUGUGGACAGCUUCCAGCCUGCUGUCACUGGGUGCAGAGCCAUGGGGCAUGCAUGAGGUCAUGUGGUGUUUCCACCAUACCCAUAAAACAGUUGCAGUCAACUUCAACAAGCAGAGGUAAUACUCAGAUGUGGUAACAAGUCGUUUUCACCUUCGAGUUUUGAUACUGUGUACUUGAUUUUAAUUUUAUAUAAUUUAAGUUGUGAUAAUGACUAUGUUUAACAACUGGAUUCACAAUUUCUAAAAGCGUUUUAUGUGUCUAUUCCAAGCAGGUGAGCACAGCUGCUGGGCUCCUGUUCCCAUUGUUCUUCCCUGGGCCUCCCCUGGCUCCAGCCAUAAUAGGCUUCCUGCUGUCCUUCAACACAUUGAGCAGCUUUGUCACUGAAACACUGUUCCCACUGAAACACAGGAGCCUGACACCUUUGACCCUACAACCAUACAACUCAUCAGCUACGUGAAAGUUCCUGCUCUGAAAUGAUUAUCCACCCCACUUUCCCACACAUAAGCAAUAAUUCAGUUCAACCCUGCACCUUAAUGUUGAUGACUUUCUGGCACUUUGCAUGUUUUAUUUGUUGGUUGUGUGACUCCAUCACUCUCCCCUGGUAAUUAAAUCUCAUGAUGAAGGUCAUUGCGUCUCAUCACUGCUGUUCUCCAAACAUUUUGUUUUGUUAAAUAAAUUUAA
rnacentral:lncRNA from 1 species